GGGGCUGACCGGUUUUGACAGCGGGUAGAAGAGGCAAGUAAGCAUGCAGGGUUUUGAUUGUUGACCCUUAUAAAUAAUAAUCAAAAUUUAAUUGGCGAAAAUAAUUACGCUCUUGCUGCGUAACCGAAUUACAGUAGGUUAAUCGCUUAAUCCCCGCACUAGGUGCAGGGACAAGACAUCGCCCGGGUGCCGUUGUUUCGGGGCGGCCCGAUCAGGUGGUGCAGAAUAAACCGGAACUAACAGGAAUAUAGCUUCGCUGUUCCUGUGAAAAUUAAGAAGCUAAGAUAAUGGUCGGUGGUCCUGAUCCUGCUAUUAUUCGAAAAUCAAGUCAGGACUAAGCAUGUAGAAAGCUUGUGGCUUCCUCGUUUGGACGCGGGUUCGACUCCCGCCAGCUCCACAA
rnacentral:tmRNA from 1 species